GCGUUUUUUAACGUUUGUUCGAAAUACGUCACACAUGACGAAUCGCAGUUCGAUUGUGUUUCUCGUUGCUGUCGGACGUGCUUUUCUUUCGCUCUUGGAUUGCGUGCUGUUUUCUGCGGUUUCGUGCCUUUUACAGAGAAGAUUGAAGAUUUUUUAGGAUGAAGACGUUGGUGCGUUGUUGGAGGCGGUUCCGGCGGAGGCAGGCGGUGGCGCCGGAGGGAGAGGGUUCCUCGGACGACGCGGAACGAGUCUGUCGUUCCGUGCCGUUGGAGGAGCGGGGGCUCGACGAGCGACAGGCAGCGGGUGAAGAAGACCUUCGCCAAGUGCGCGUGGCGUGGCAUCCUCCCGGAGUCGGGAUGAUGCGACGCUACACCCUGGGUCCAGUGCGCUUGGCCGAGGUCUUCGGGGGUCAUCCGGCCACAGACCUUGCUGUGGAGGAUGUCGAAAGUGACAGCUCGUCCGAGCUGACACUUUCUGUUUGGUCGUGUUCUGCCCGUUCGUCCGCGACGGCGACGCCACCGCCUUGCCGAAGUCGGGACGGGGAGGAGUCGGAGGAGAGAGCCCCCGAAGUUGAGGGACCGUGCUGUCCGUGGUUUUGUUGCUGCGGACGGCUGCGGUUGCCUUGGCCUAGGCGGUGAUCUUCUUCGACUUCCUCUUCUUCACCCGGAUGCGACUUUCUUACCGGAUUCGACACUUUUCACCCGGACAUGACAUCUUUUAACGGACGUGACCUCUUUUACCCGGACGUGACCCACGGACUUGACACGUUUCUUCACCGGACGCGACAUAUGGCCGACCUUUCUUCUCAAACAGCUGUUAUGAGGAUUGAGCUUUCGGUUAGGGUUCGUUAGCUUAGCCUUGGCUAGGUCAGGUCCUUCGCUCUUCUGAUAACACUGUUCGGGAAGAAAGGCUGUCUGUUUAAGGUAAUAAUAUUGACCUUAAGUAAUAAAUGAAUAAACUUCUUGUUUUCUCACUGCGUUUGUGUUUUGUAGGAACAUUUGGGAGGGAGAAGGAUCUCCCUCCCCAACUUUACCACGAAGAGGACCAAGUGGCCAUUUACCGUACAAGUGAAUAUUUUCCGAUGACAUGCCGAAGAUGUUCUUCGAUCACACACA